rnacentral:rRNA from 1 species
CUGCGGGUGCUAUACAUGCAGUCGAGCGGACAGAUGGGAGCUUGCUCCCUGAUGUUAGCGGCGGACGGGUGAGUAACACGUGGGUAACCUGCCUGUAAGACUGGGAUAACUCCGGGAAACCGGGGCUAAUACCGGAUGGUUGUCUGAACCGCAUGGUUCAGACAUAAAAGGUGGCUUCGGCUACCACUUACAGAUGGACCCGCGGCGCAUUAGCUAGUUGGUGAGGUAACGGCUCACCAAGGCGACGAUGCGUAGCCGACCUGAGAGGGUGAUCGGCCACACUGGGACUGAGACACGGCCCAGACUCCUACGGGAGGCAGCAGUAGGGAAUCUUCCGCAAUGGACGAAAGUCUGACGGAGCAACGCCGCGUGAGUGAUGAAGGUUUUCGGAUCGUAAAGCUCUGUUGUUAGGGAAGAACAAGUGCCGUUCAAAUAGGGCGGCACCUUGACGGUACCUAACCAGAAAGCCACGGCUAACUACGUGCCAGCAGCCGCGGUAAUACGUAGGUGGCAAGCGUUGUCCGGAAUUAUUGGGCGUAAAGGGCUCGCAGGCGGUUUCUUAAGUCUGAUGUGAAAGCCCCCGGCUCAACCGGGGAGGGUCAUUGGAAACUGGGGAACUUGAGUGCAGAAGAGGAGAGUGGAAUUCCACGUGUAGCGGUGAAAUGCGUAGAGAUGUGGAGGAACACCAGUGGCGAAGGCGA